rnacentral:rRNA from 1 species
AGGAUUCCCCUAGUAACUGCGAGUGAAGCGGGAAAAGCUCAAAUUUAAAAUCUGGCAGUCUUUGGCUGUCCGAAUUGUAAUCUAGAGAAGUGCUAUCCGCGCUGGACCGUGUACAAGUCUCCUGGAAUGGAGCGUCAUAGAGGGUGAGAAUCCCGUCUUUGACACGGACUGCCAGGGCUUUGUGAUGCACUAUCAAAGAGUCGAGUUGUUUGGGAAUGCAGCUCAAAAUGGGUGGUAAAUUCCAUCUAAAGCUAAAUAUUGGCGAGAGACCGAUAGCGAACAAGUACCGUGAGGGAAAGAUGAAAAGAACUUUGGAAAGAGAGUUAAACAGUAUGUGAAAUUGCUGAAAGGGAAACGCUUGAAGUCAGUCGCGUUGGCAAGGAAUCAGCUCUGCAGUUUUGCUGGGUGCAUUUUCUUGUUGACGGGUCAGCAUCAAUUUUGACUGUUGGAUAAAGGUAGAGGGAAUGUGGCAUUCUUUGGAAUGUGUUAUAGACCUUUGCUGUAUACAAUGGUUGGGAUUGAGGAAUUCAGCACGCCGCAAGGCCGGGAAUAUGUUCCACGUACGUGCUYAGGAUGCUGGCAUAAUGGCUUUAAUCGACCCGUCUUGAAACACGGACCAAGGAGUCUAACAUGCCUGCGAGUAUUUGGGUGGAAAAACCCAUGUGCGCAAUGAAAGUGAAAGUUGAGAUCCCUGUCGUGGGGAGCAUUGACGCCCGGACUUGAAGUUUUCUGACGGUUCCGCGGUAGAGCAUGCAUGUUGGGACCCGAAAGAUGGUGAACUAUGCCUGAAUAGGGUGAAGCCAGAGGAAACUCUGGUGGAGGCUCGUAGCGAUUCUGACGUGCAAAUCGAUCGUCAAAUUUGGGUAUAGGGGCGAAAGACUAAUCGAAC